UGUCACCAAGGUCAGGCUGACAGGCCUGUAGAUCCCUGGAUCCUCCUUAUUACCCUUCUUAUAGUUGAUUGUCACAUUAGCAAGUCUUCAAUCAUCUAGGACCUCUCUGGUUGACCAGGAAUGCUGAUAGACAGUGGAAAGCGGCUUGGCAAUCAUGUCCGCCAGAUCCUUCAGCACCCUCUGGUGGAUCCUAUCUGUCCCCAUGGACUUCUGAUAGUCCAGGUAGAGUCACUCACUGCCUACUGUUCAAGUCCCUUCCACCUCCAACACCCCUUCAUGAAAUCUGGCGCUGGCAGAAGGCUGUCAAACAUGUAUGUGACUUAGAAGCCAAACAGACUACACAAGCUUGACUUUCCAUUACUUCACAUGGAUUUAAUACAGCUGUAAAUCAAAGCAACAGAGCCAUAAAAAUAAAAUAAAAUAUGGUUAAA